rnacentral:lncRNA from 1 species
UUCAUGGGUCUCCAUCAGAGCAAAGAAAAGAAUGGAAAAGGGAGAAAGGAAGUAAGUUCAACUUUGCUCACUUUACAUUCCAUCAUUCAUUUUAAUGUAAUUAGUUGCAAGAAAAAAAGUUUCUUUAUACCACUGUGCUUUGCUUAGUUGGGGAAGGAUUUUUUUCUUAUGCAAUUGCUCCUGCUUAAUUUAUGUUCAUAUUUGUAUUGUGUAAAAACUGUGUUCUACUACCAACAAUUCUUGGUGUAUCUUAUGACUUUAUGCUAGCAGCAAGAUGAACUUGAACUCCAUAGAGGCAGAUGAUCUUGUAUCUAACUAAAGGCUCUCAAGUAGUAAGCCAUGAUUGAUGAGAGAUGGGUCCCAGAAAAGCAAAUAAGGUAGUGCAACACUAAAUAGAUUCUCAAGAUUGAGCAAACUGAUGAAUGGUUUCAAUUCAACCAGCUGUUUUUCUAACAUGGCCUAAUGCUUCAGAUUCUUGCAUUUAAAUUCAGAUAUCAAUUCAGCUUUGAUUUGAAAUAGAGAACUUUCCUUCCCCACCCCACAACCAAAAAGAAAUUAUUCACCAGAUUGCUGAAGUAACUUCGAUGUAAAGAAUACAUUCUGAGGUGAUGUGAACCUAUGGCUCUC